CAGCGUAUUUCAGCUGAUUCAGAGAUGCCAGAAGGUUUAGACACGAUUGAAGAAAGCGGAUGCUUAAACUCUCUUAACCUGUGACGUGAUACUAGUGCCCACUUCUGAUCUUUAAGAUAUGAUAAGCUUGAAAGAAAUAGUGCAGAUCUUCUCAGAUGGGGAAACAGAGCAGGCAGAGGUAAAUGAAAUUGUGCAAAGGCACAAGCCAGAAAAGAGAUGAAGCAAAAAGCAAACCUGGAUAGGCAGUUGCCCUGGCAGCUCGGAUCUCUCUCUUCUCUCCUCAAACCCCUCAUCCUACCACAGUGAUAGAGUUGCAUUUGUUUAGUACUUCACAUGGAAGAAUCGUCUAUUGUCUUCCAAGCCAGGCAAAGUGAACAGGCUGAGUCAGUCCAGGAAUAUUCAAGCCUCCCCAUCUGUGGUAUUGCAGAAUUCCAGGGCAAUUCCACCAGUUGGUGGAGCUUCUGUCUGGGAAAACAGAGCUAUUGUGAACAAAGCAUACUGUACAUAUUUCUAACAUUCAUAAAAGACUGGGUUUGAAUCAUUUGAAUCUUUCUCAAAAUUUCUUCCUUUGGGGCAAAAAUUUCCAAUGCAUGGCCAUGAUCCAAUUAUAGUCAUUUGGAAAAUCUGAGCAUAAGCCAUGCAACCAUGUCAUUAACUAGUUGUGAAAAGAAAAGAUAAAUGUUUGACUGUAAGAGUAUGACAGCAAGCUGGAUUAUAUUGGGACUUCAUUUACUCAAGACUAGGAGUCGGUUUUAGCAGGGCAUGGCCUGCCAAAUACACCACCAAAGACUAAGACAGGCCUUCCCCUCUUCUUCAUCAUGACCUCUCUGUGACAAAGACUCCUUUCAAGCAAAGGGGGUGGAAUGAGCUCCUCUUUCAGUUUGGAAACAGAGCAGUGAUAAACUGGGUGUCCUAACAACCUUCUGUGGCAUGCUGCCUCUCAUCUAGAAAUGUGCUGGCCUAAUGUUUUAAAGCAGCUGUGAGACAGAGCUGCUGUUCUAGGCUAUCAAACUCUGCUAAGUGUCAUUCUGACCAAGAUGUUUUCAAGACUUUAGUCACUUUGAUCAGCACAGAAGAUGUUACAUUUAUUUUCUGAACAACAGAAUACCUCUGAAGGACAGGAUUCUGACUCACACCUAAAUCCAACAACAUUUUAGAUGAAAUUAAAAACUGACAAGUCUUUUCUAAUGCCCCAUGCGUACAAAUUCAAAAAUACAGAUUAAUCAUCUAACCCUUCACAUGCAUGCAGGGUGAGGAAAGGGUACGAAACAGACCAACUUCAACACGAUGAUAAGGGCUGCAUCCCAAAUCCCACCUCUCUGGAGCAAGGAGAUGUACCUUAGGACAGCAGGAAGUCUUACCUAUGUCCUAACUCACCUAUGAGAUUUUUCAAAAACACAGCUGGAAGGAGAGAGGUGCUACUUUCUGUUGACUGUAGAUCUGACAAUUACAGCACUCCCUAGAAAACAGAAGAUCUGUGAUUCAGCUCAUUUCUUAUCUUAAGAAGACUUCAAAUCUUAAGAAGACACUGACCUUU
ensembl:lncRNA